rnacentral:rRNA from 1 species
GACGAACGCUGGCGGCGUGCUUAACACAUGCAAGUCGUGCGAGAAAGGGGACUUCGGUCCCUGAGUAGAGCGGCGCACGGGUGAGUAACGCGUGGAUUAUCUACCCAGACGUUCGGGAUAACGGCGGGAAACUGCCGCUAAUACCGGAUACGCUCCAAUUUCGGUUGGGGGAAAGGCGGCCUCUGCUUGCAAGCUGUCGCAUCUGGAUGAGUCCGCGUCCCAUUAGCUUGUUGGUGGGGUAAUGGCCUACCAAGGCUACGAUGGGUAGCUGGUCUGAGAGGAUGAUCAGCCACACUGGAACUGAAACACGGUCCAGACUCCUACGGGAGGCAGCAGUGGGGAAUAUUGCGCAAUGGGGGAAACCCUGACGCAGCGACGCCGUGUGAGGGAAGAAGGCUUUCGGGUCGUAAACCUCUGUCAGAAAGGAAGAACCUCCCGGAACCGAAUAGGCUCCGGGACUGACGGUACUUUCAAAGGAAGCACCGGCUAACUCCGUG